rnacentral:rRNA from 1 species
UUGGUGCCUUCGGGAACUGUGAGACAGGUGCUGCAUGGCUGUCGUCAGCUCGUGUUGUGAAAUGUUGGGUUAAGUCCCGCAACGAGCGCAACCCUUAUCCUUUGUUGCCAGCGGUUAGGCCGGGAACUCAAAGGAGACUGCCAGUGAUAAACUGGAGGAAGGUGGGGAUGACGUCAAGUCAUCAUGGCCCUUACGACCAGGGCUACACACGUGCUACAAUGGCAUAUACAAAGAGAAGCGACCUCGCGAGAGCAAGCGGACCUCAUAAAGUAUGUCGUAGUCCGGAUUGGAGUCUGCAACUCGACUCCAUGAAGUCGGAAUCGCUAGUAAUCGUAGAUCAGAAUGCUACGGUGAAUACGUUCCCGGGCCUUGUACACACCGCCCGUCACACCAUGGGAGUGGGUUGCAAAAGAAGUAGGUAGCUUA